rnacentral:rRNA from 1 species
CCUACGGGAGGCAGCAGUGGGGAAUAUUGGACAAUGGGGGCAACCCUGAUCCAGCCAUGCCGCGUGUGUGAAGAAGGCCCUCGGGUUGUAAAGCACUUUCAGUGAGGAAGAACGCCUGGUGGUUAAUACCCAUCAGGAAAGACAUCACUCACAGAAGAAGCACCGGCUAACUCCGUGCCAGCAGCCGCGGUAAUACGGAGGGUGCGAGCGUUAAUCGGAAUUACUGGGCGUAAAGCGCGCGUAGGUGGCUUGAUAAGCCGGUUGUGAAAGCCCCGGGCUCAACCUGGGAACGGCAUCCGGAACUGUCAAGCUAGAGUGCAGGAGAGGAAGGUAGAAUUCCCGGUGUAGCGGUGAAAUGCGUAGAGAUCGGGAGGAAUACCAGUGGCGAAGGCGGCCUUCUGGACUGACACUGACACUGAGGUGCGAAAUCGUGGGUAGCAAACAGGAUUAGAUACCCUUGUAGUC